UUGGCUGUCGUCAGCUCGUGUCGUGAGAUGUUGGGUUAAGUCCCGCAACGAGCGCAACCCUCAUCUUUAGUUGCCAUCAGUUCGGCUGGGCACUCUAGAGAAACUGCCUGGGAUGACCAGGAGGAAGGCGAGGAUGACGUCAAGUCCUCAUGGCCCUUAUGGGCUGGGCUACACACGUGCUACAAUGGCGGUGACAAAGGGACGCAAUAGGGCAACCUGGAGCAAAUCCCUAAAAACCGUCUCAGUUCGGAUUGUUCUCUGCAACUCGAGAGCAUGAAGUUGGAAUCGCUAGUAAUCGUAGAUCAGCAUGCUACGGUGAAUACGUUCCCGGGCCUUGUACACACCGCCCGUCACACCAUGGGAGUUGGUUUUACCCGAAGGCGAUGUGCUAACUUCGGAGGCAGUCGACCACGGUAAGGUCAGCGACUGGGGUGAAGUCGUAACAAGGUAGCCGUAGGGGAACCUGUGGCUGGAUCACCUCCUUUCUAAGGAUGACUUGAUUUCAAUUUAUUUGUAUCAAGUUGUUAAUAGACAUAAUACACCGUCGUCUAUAAAUCCCUUUUUAGAGUUAUUAGGAUCCCUAAUCUAAUUAGAUUAGUGUAGGGGCUCGUAGCUCAGGCGGUUAGAGCGCACGCCUGAUAAGCGUGAGGUCGGAAGUUCAAGUCUUCCCGGGCCCACCAUAGUGGCAUGUUUUUUGCUGUUUAAUAUUAGGGGGUGUAGCUCAGUUGGGAGAGCGCCUGCUUUGCAAGCAGGAGGUCAUCGGUUCGAUCCCGUUCACCUCCACCAAGCCUAAUAAUAUAUUCAAUUGUUGUUUGAUAAAGUUAACUAAACCAUCACACAGAGAAUUCUUAUCAAGUCAGAAAAGAAAGAUUUAUUUCUGUACAUAUGAUAAUUCAAGCGAUAAAAGUGCAAUUAGUGGAUGCCUUGGCAUCAAGAGGCGAUGAAGGACGUGACACACUGCGAUAAGCCCUGGGGAGUUGUGAAUAAACUUUGAUCCGGGGAUUUCCGAAUGGGGAAACCCGG
rnacentral:sRNA from 1 species